UGUGCUCACAACAAAGAGGACAAGAGACAUAUUCAUCUAGGAGAGGUGUCAGAUGGCCUGAUGUUAACAGUGACGGUAAAGGAAAAUGUGUAGUUUUCCCCAGAGACUGAUAACCAACCGGCCCAACAUGUCGAUAACCACUGCUCAUCUACAAUCACAAUGAACACCGGUGUACCACAAGGCUGUGUGAUGAGCCCUUUCUUCUCCUCCCUCUUCACCCACGACUGCAGACCUACCGAUGGUUCCAACACCAUCAUUAAGUUUGCAGAUGACACCACGGUGAUUGGCCUCAUCAAUGACAACGAUGAGGCCGCCUACAGGGAGGAGGUGGAUCGUCUGGCUGAGUGGUGCGACGUAAACAACUUGCUGCUCAACACAGAGAAGACCAAGGAGCUCAUCGUGGACUACAGGAGGAAUGCUGACCCACAUCCACCCAUCUACAUUAAAGGGACGGCUGUGGAGCGUGUGAGCAGCUUCAAGUUCCUGGGAGUCCACAUCUCCGAGGAUCUCAUCUGGACGACCAACUGCUCCAAGCUGGUCAAGAAGGCUCACCAGCACCUCUUCUUCCAGAGGACUCUGAAGAAGAACCACCUGUCCUCAGACAUCCUGGUGAACUUGUAUUGCUGCACCAUCGAGAGCAUCCUGACCAACUGUAUAACAGUCUGGUACGGGAACUGCUCUGUCUCGGACUGGAAGGCGUUGCAGAGGGUCGUGAAAACUACCUAGCGCAUCGCUGGAGCACCACUUCCAGCCAUAAAUGACAUCUACAGGAAGCGUUGUCUGAAAAGUGCUGGGAAAAUCAUCAAAGACCCUAGUCACCAAUCACAUGGACUCUUCACCCUCCUGCCCUCUGGGAGGCGCUACAGGAGCCUCCGGACUAAGACCACCAGGUACCGGAACAGCUUCUUCCCCACAGCUGUCAGACUCCUGAACUCUGCCGACAUCUGACCCACGUUAAAAUAAUGGACUGAACAUACACACACCCACAACCACUAGCACUUUAUAUAGCCUCUGUAGAAAGUAGCCACAUAUUUCACUUAUCUUAACUGCACUUCUGUAUAAACAAUCAUCCUGUACAAUACAAUAAUUAUAAUUCUACAACUGUUUACAACUGUUUAUAACUUCCAUAUUCCUGUAUAGUUUCAUAUUUAUAUCCUGUUCUGUUCAUAGCCUGUACAUAGCUUGUAUACCCACUACAGCCUGUACAUACUUAUAGCAUAUUCAUAACAUACCUUCAUACCAUGUACAUUAUAACAUACCCAUAGUAAAC
ensembl:lncRNA